rnacentral:rRNA from 1 species
AUUGAACGCUGGCGGCAUGCUUUACACAUGCAAGUCGAACGGUAACAGGCCGCAAGGUGCUGACGAGUGGCGAACGGGUGAGUAAUGCAUCGGAACGUGCCCAGUCGUGGGGGAUAACGCAGCGAAAGCUGCGCUAAUACCGCAUAUGAUCUAUGGAUGAAAGCGGGGGACCGUAAGGCCUCGCGCGAUUGGAGCGGCCGAUGUCAGAUUAGGUAGGUGGGGGGGUAAAGGCUCACCAAGCCAACGAUCUGUAGCUGGCCUGAGAGGACGACCAGCCACCCUUGGACGGAAACACGGCCCAGACUCCUACGGGAGGCAGCAGGGGGGAAUUUUGGGCAAUGGGCGCAAGCCUGAUCCAGCAAUGCCGGGUGCAGGAAGAAGGGCUUCCGGUUGUAAACUGCUUUUGUACGGAACGAAACGGUCCUGGUUAAUACCUGGGGCUAAUGACGGUACCGUAAGAAUAAGCACCGGCUAACUACGUGCCAGCCGCCGCAGUAAGAC